ensembl:lncRNA
CCAGAUCAUAGGAGGGCAUUAUUUGGAGGAAACCGCUAUAACGUAAAAUCAGAUUUCAGAAGGAAAAUGCAGCAAGGACUGACUGUAGUCCUAUUUCAGACCCCUGGGCACUAGUGUCAACUCCUCCUUUGGCUCGUAACUCAGAAAGAACCAAAGGGCAGAUGAGGGACAGGGGCAGGAGGGAUCCUAGGACGGCCAGAGUAGGUGACGAUUACUUCCUUAGCUCCUCCUUCCAUUCUGAUCUCAGGGUUUUCACUCUUCAAACUCCCAAACACAUGACUUCUUCCCAGCAGCCCUUCCCGGCCUCUAGUUUGGUCUGGUAUGAAAUGGGACUGUUUAACAAGCAAGGCUCUUAGGGGACACUGUUGAGCCUGGUCCCAGAAUCUCUGUGAUCUCCACAGGGCCAGGGUUGCUACUUGCGCCCAGAAUCUAGUGGUUUUAGUCAGAUCCAUGGAACAGAACAGCUUUGUAAUACAUUGUCAAGUUACCUGAUUACAAACUCUCAUAAAAAGAUGUUGGAACUACCUUUUUACUCCCCAUACUUUGUAAGUAAUGCUUCCAGAUUAACCUGCAAAUCUUGUGGAGCCAAAGCCUCUCACAGUGCUCUGAUUUACCUCCCCAAAAAUGCCCCCAAACCUCCAUGCAAGUUUACAGCCAGUAGCUUGGUCUUUCUUAUUCUCUUGGAGCCCUAAACUUAAGCCUUUCAUUCCCCUUUGCUAAAGCAUCUCACCCCCAGGGCAGCCCCAGCACCCUGGCAUUGCGGGAGGUGCUGUGCUGCACAGCUCUGUUCCAUCAGGCCCUGUUGGCCUGUUACACAUUGACUCAGGGAGCCAGAGCGCCAAGUGGAGGUUGUACCUUUCAGCCCUUUGAGGUGUUAAGUGUCAAGGGCUGGGUUUGCCUCUGAUGAGUACAAUCAGUUCCAGAAGACUGGGUAAGUCUCUUGCUAGCAGGUGGACAUUCUGGUAUUUUAGACUGACUUAAUGAAACCCAGAGGCUGGUUCCAGAGCUCUGUCCCUGAGAACACAUCCCUGUGGAAAAUACUUGAGUUUGUAAUUUCUUUUUUUUUUCCCUUUCUGGGAGUGGAGGUCUCAGGCUCAAUCCGGAACCAUGUACGUACAAUUUUGCUUAUUAUUUGGUGUGACAUGAACUCAAAAUCCUGCAUUUUUAGAUUCCUUUUCAUUCUAAUUGAGGCCUCACCAGAUGCUCUUCAGUUCUGUGUAUUUUGAGGCUGGGUGGAGAAAGUAUAUGAUUCCGCUGUUGAUUCUUUCAGUCUUCCCCCCUUCUCCUUUUAUCAUUCCAGAGUUAUUUUCUAUUAAUUAUUAGUCAAACUUUUUUGUAGAACCUUCUUUCCCUUACCCUGGCAAAUUGCUUCUUAACUUGCUGGUUUCCUUACGUUUGGGGCACAUAUUGUAAGAAACUGAUUGGAAGGGGAAAUGUGCAGCUCUCCACUGAAAAGGAACUCUCCACCCCUCCCAUCCUGAUAAACAAGGUUUACAUUUACAACUAAAAGGAUUCAGAUGCAAUUUUCAACUAUUCUGAAACCAGCAGGACACACCUGACUUUAAUAGUUUUAGCUGAAAUUGUAGAUGUUUUUCUUCAGUUUAACUUAUGAGCAAAGAUUAUCUGAUGGAUUUUGUGUUGACUUCCCCUUUAGUGGUUUAUUUUGUCUUUUUCUGCCCAUCAUCUGUCUACUAAUAAAAUGUGA